rnacentral:rRNA from 1 species
CGCCUGGGGAGUGCGGCCGCAAGGCUAAAACUCAAAGGAAUUGACGGGGCCCCGCACAAGCGGCGGAGCAUGCGGAUUAAUUCGAUGCAACGCGUAGAACCUUACCUGGGUUUGACAUGGAUCGGGAGUGCUCAGAGAUGGGUGUGCCUCUUUUGGGGUCGGUUCACAGGUGGUGCAUGGCUGUCGUCAGCUCGUGUCGUGAGAUGUUGGGUUAAGUCCCGCAACGAGCGCAACCCUUGUUCACUGUUGCCAGCACGUUAUGGUGGGGACUCAGUGGAGACCGCCGGGGUCAACUCGGAGGAAGGUGGGGAUGACGUCAAGUCAUCAUGCCCCUUAUGUCCAGGGCUUCACGCAUGCUACAAUGGCUGGUACAGAGAGUGGCGAGCCUGUGAGGGUGAGCGAAUCUCGGAAAGCCGGUCUCAGUUCGGAUUGGGGUCUGCAACUCGACCUCGUGAAGUCGGAGUCGCUAGUAAUCGCAGAUCAGCAACGCUGCGGUGAAUACGUUCCCGGGGCUUGUACACACCGCCCGUCAAGUCAUGAAAGUUGGUAACACCCGAAGCCGGUGGCCUAACCGUUGUGGGGGAGCCGUCGAAGGUGGGACUGGUGAUUAGGACUAAGUCGUAACAAGGUAACCGUA